UACGUAGGGGGCGAGCGUUGUCCGGAUUUAUUGGGCGUAAAGAGCGUGUAGGCGGCCAGGUAGGUCUGCUGUGAAAACUCGAGGCUCAACCUCGAGACGUCGGCGGAAACCAUCUGGCUAGAGUCCGGAAGAGGAGAGUGGAAUUCCUGGUGUAGCGGUGAAAUGCGUAGAUAUCUGGAGGAACACCGGUGGCGAAGGCGGCAUCCUGGACCGAGAUUGACGCUGAGGCGCGAAAGCCAGGGGAGCAAACGGG
rnacentral:rRNA from 1 species